rnacentral:rRNA from 1 species
UCCAGAGGGUGCGAGCGUUAAUCGGAGUGACUGGGCGUAAAGGGCAUGUAGGCGGUUGUAUUAGUCAGAUGUGAAAUACCCGAGCUUAACUUGGGAUAUGCAUUUGAAACGGUAUAGCUAGAGUAUGGGAGAGGGAAGUGGAAUUUCCGGUGUAGCGGUGAAAUGCGUAGAGAUCGGAAAGAACACUCGUGGCGAAGGCGGCUUUCUGGCCCAUAACUGACGCUGAGGUGCGAAAGCAUGGGGAGUAAACAGG